rnacentral:antisense_RNA from 1 species
CUUGUCUCACCCUGUAGUCCACACUCUGCCUAACGCUACGCCCUACCUCACAUUCCUAUUGACAUCUGCUGCAGAUCACACCCUUGUGAUGGACAAACUGCUCAGCACAGUCCCACCCACCCAGCCUCCUUGUCCUGGACACGAGGUUUUUGCCUCCCUGAUUUGGAGUAUUGGACCCUUCCUAGAGAGCUGCCAGAUGAGAACUCAGAGGCUCCUCCCGGCUCACCUGCAUCCUCAAAUACGCCUUCUGUCCAGUCCUAAUUUCCAGCCCAUCGACCUCCGCUGGCGGAAUGGGGGCCAGUGCUGGAAGGCCUGCAUGUUGGUCACCCAGUUUGCAGUCCACGUAGAGAUGUAGGGCAGGGCUGGGUCUGGAGGGACCUCGGAGUCGCAGGAGAACUGUGUGUGUGCGCCCAUCAGCCAGGCCUGCUUGCUGUAGGUUCACGGCGUGGACUUUGCCAUCCUCCCGCUGGUAU